ACGGCUUAUUGGAGCAUCGCUAAAGUCACAUGACCAACUUGCCGAUAGAAAACGUGCACAUGCACUUUCGAAGGUUGCUUCAAACUGUAUGCGUUAGAUAGGUUAUGAAGAGUAUAGAGUAUAUGUAAUGGAAAUGUUACAUACCUAUUACGUGGAACGCUAAACCAAUAUUCAGGACGCAGCUUCUUCUUGCCAUAACUCAUAAUAGGCGUAGAUCGUGGUAUUUUUUUAUCUUUAGGUCUACCAGUCCGUAGUCUCAGGUACAACGGAGGAUCUUCGCAAGAUCGUGCAGGUCGUGGUAUCAGUUCUGUAUAAUUGGAAUAAAAAUAUUUCAUUGUAAUAGAUUAAAGUACAUAAUUAUCUUAGA